GUGAAACUAAUAAUAAUAAUAGAAGAGAUUAAAUGUUAUAUCAUUAAAUUUAAAAGAUUUGGCGGUACUUUUUAUUUAGAGGAACCUGUGUAGUAAUUGAUGUACCACGAUAAGAAAUACUUAAAGUUUAGCUUAUGUAUUGCUGUUUUCAGUAUUUAAUUAAUUUAGGUUUAUACAAUUUAUUAAAGUUAAGAAAUUCAAGUCAAAAUAUAGUUUUUUUAAGAUUAACAUGGGUUACAUUAAAUUAGAUUUAAAUAGUUGAAUUAAAAAUUUUAAUUUUUUUAUGAAAAUGGAUUUAAAAGUAAAAUUAAUAAAUUAAUUAAUUUGAAUAAAAAAGUUAAGUACGU
rnacentral:rRNA from 1 species